rnacentral:rRNA from 1 species
CAGCAGCAGCCGCGGUAAUACGUAGGUGGCAAGCGUUGUCCGGAAUUAUUGGGCGUAAAGGGCUCGCAGGCGGUUUCUUAAGUCUGAUGUGAAAGCCCCCGGCUCAACCGGGGAGGGUCAUUGGAAACUGGGAAACUUGAGUGCAGAAGAGGAGAGUGGAAUUCCACGUGUAGCGGUGAAAUGCGUAGAGAUGUGGAGGAACACCAGUGGCGAAGGCGACUCUCUGGUUUGUAACUGACGCUGAGGAGCGAAAGCGUGGGGAGCGAACAGGAUUAGAUACCCCCGUAGUCCCUGUCUCUUAUAC